rnacentral:sRNA from 1 species
UGACAUUGAUGCCCAGCUACUCCAGUCC